UUUCUCCUCUCUCUCUCUCUCUCUCUCUCUCUCUCUCUCUCUCUUUUCCCCAAAUCAGCUUCUUAAUUAAUAUUUGCAUUGUGGUUUCAUUUCAUAUUCAUUUUCCUCCUAAAUUUCUUCCUUUCACUUUUUUUUUUAAUGUCUAAAAGGUGGAAGACCUGAUUGCCAUCAGAGAAUUUAUUCAGUGAAAUACUUCAUUGAUCAAAGCUAUAGGCGGACCUGACUGGUUUCAUAUCAUUUUCAUUUGCCGAUUCAAUUAAGGAACCGAGGCAGAUAGAACCAGAUCAAUACAAGAGAGAGAGAGAGAGAGAGAGAGAGAGAGAGAGAGAGAGAGAGAGAGAGUAUAUUACCAAGAAAAAAUGGAUAUUAUCAAUAAGAGAGAUUACGUUUUCAAGAAAAAAGGGAGAGAGAAAAUUAUUUUAUUUUAUUUUUAUGAGAGAGAAAAUAAAAUUAAUGAUUGUUUAUUUAAAACAUUAAAACUAUUUGUCAUGUUAGAUUUAUUCUCAACCAUUAAAAGUAGAGUAAUCUAAUGGCCCAAAAAUUGUGUCAAAACUUUUGUCAAAAAUAUGGUGCCACGGAUCCACUAUAUAUAUAUAUAUAUAUCACAAAACAUCCUGAGGUUCACACACCUAUUACAAAUUAGGGCUAGACAAUUAAACCAUCAACUCAAAAAAUCGGCCGAACCAAACCGAUCAGAUUAGUUUGGUCUGAUUAUUUAUUUGUUAAUUAUUUAAUAUCGGGUUUUGGUUUACAAUUUGAGAUUUUAAAUGAACCGGACCUUCACUAUUGGCAAGCCAAAUAUUACAAAAAUAUAUAUAUAUAUUUUGCAACAAUGGGGUUCAAAAACCCCACACCUCCAGGUAAGAAUUAUUCUUGCUUUCCACUGGAGCAAUCAAGCUUCUUGUGUAAUCUUUCCAUAAAUAUGAUAUAUAAUUAGUUACUCCCAAUAAUAAAUAUUUUUAAAAAAAAAAAAGUGAGAGCAUGCAAGUAAACAUUAUGCAUGCACAUCUGCACUGAAACCAACGUUCUAAUUCUUUUUCUUCUCCUCAUAUCUCACCUCUCUCUACGCCCUCAUUUUUUAUUUUUUUUCCCCAUCUUCUUCUUCAUUCAGUCACUUUCCAUCUCUCCCUCUCUUUUUAUUUAUUUUUCCUUCUUCUCUUUCUCUCUCUUUCUUUUCUUCCUCCUCCUUCCCUCUUUUGCGUUGUCUCCCAUGUCUCUCUCGUUUUUCUAUUUUUUCCAUGCUCUCUCUUCUUUCUAGGGGUGGGCACUCAAACCGGCGAACCGGAAAUCCGAGCCGAACCGCACCGAACCAAACCGGAAAAAAACCGAGUUGACCAAAAAGUCAAAAACCGGUCAAAAACCGAACCGGACCGGUUUGGACCGGUUCCGGAUCCGGUUCCAUGUCUUCAAAAACCGAACCGGGCCGAACCGAACCGGUGAAACUAAAAAAAUAUAUAAUUUCAAUAUAUAUUUAUAUUUAAUGCUAUAUUUUUAAUUUCACUAAAAAAAACAUAAUAUUUAUCCAAGUUCAAUGUCAAAAUCUCUCUCUUUUCUCACUUUAAUAUUUAUUUUUUAUAUGAAAUUGAAUAAUUUGUUAAUUUUCAAGUAAAAAAAUAAUAUUUCAGUUGAGAAUUGUAUUAAAAAAUAAUUUAAAAAAAUAAUUUUUAUAAUCCGGUUCAAAACCGAACCGGAACCGAAACCGGACCGGAACCGGUUCAAACCGAACCGGACGGUUUUUGAAAUUUUUUUUAUUAAAACCGAACCGAACCAAACAGAAUGAAUAGUAUCGGAUCGGUUCUAAUUUGAGGCAAAAACCGGUCCAAACCGAACCGUGCCCACCCCUACUUCUUUCUAUUGUUUUCCAUCGCUCUCUCUUCUCUUCCUUCUUCUCCGUCUUCUUCCUGCGGUCUCUGUCUUCUUCUUUUUCUAUUUUUUCCCUUCUUCUUCUUCCUCUCUUCCCUAUCUCAAUCUCUCCUUAUGUCUAUUUUUUCCCAGCCUACUUUUUCUCUCUUCGGCCUAAACCCGAAACCGAACCAAACCAAAUCACAAACUUCGGUUAACUAGAAUGGUCGGUUUCACAAGUUAUGGUUCGGUGCACGAUUUUCAAAAUAGCUAACCCGAAGCCUUCUGUUCGGUGUUCAGGUUGAGCCUAAAACCGAACCAAUCCAGACCGAGCCCACACCUAGCACAAAUGGUCCUUGCGAACUUUUUUUAUUUUUUCAUUUAAAAUUCAUAAAAUUUUGGUUUUCUUUUUAAAAUUAUUUUAAAACAUAUAUUGUAUUUUAAAUACACAUGACACUAUAUUAUCAUAGAUGUAGGCUCCAUAUAUAUGCCACAUCAACAAACUAAUGAAAUUUUUAAAUGAUCCUCAAGGUUAAAAUCCUUCUAUAAAUAAGUUUUUUUAUAUUCCAUCUCCAUUGUAAAACUCUGUUAUCUAUCUCUCAUUUCAGGAUUUGAAAUAAGAAUCUCCAUAAUAUUAGUUCCAUUAAAAUCUCGGUAAAAUGAAAUUGCCAAGCCAAGAUGAGCCCAUUAGAUGAUUCUGACCCAUACAGAACAUCUGAACUAAAAAGAUUGGAUAAAAUACAGCCACAUUUCAUAUGCAUGCCACCUCUGGUAUUUGGAAAAGUUUGUCUCCCUGAUUUGUGGUCUUGGUGAAGCUCUCACAUUUAUCUAAAAUGCCGGGAGUGUAAAUUCUCUCUCCUCCAAAAAAAAAAACAUAAGAUUUUGCUGUGGCCACUAAAUAAUAUGAAAACUUCUUUACAUUUGAUUAUAGUUGAAUAUGAUGAAUAGGGUAUACUUAUUAAAAUAUAUUUAUUUUACAAUUCAAUAUAUCUUAUUUGUUCAUUUUAUAUUAGGAUAAAUUAGUAAUUCAAUAAAUACUUUAGUAGUAGGGUGUACUCAAUUAAUUUUAGGGUUUGUUCAGUAGCACUCUUCAGUUAAUCAUAUUCUAUCUGCUAUCAAACCACUGUUGUUGAGAACUUCUAGUAGUUGUAUUUUCUGGUUAUCAAAUUCUAGUAGUUAUUCAUUACUCCCAUUUAGCAAAUGUUAGUUGCAAUCAAUUUCAAGUUGCAACGACCUCUACUCUCUAGUAGUUAUUUAGUUUUACCCCUCUCGUUUAUAUUAAUUAUCUUUCAUCCAUUCUUCAUUCCCAUCUCUCUCUCUCUCUCUCUCUCUCUCUCUCUCUCUCACAUAAUCACCCUGGCAACUUUCUAUACCACAUUACAAGCUUUGAUUAAUUCCUCUUAAUUAACCAUGGAAAUUAAUGCAAAAGCUCAACACCGCUCAACCACAGAGCCAUUGCUCCCAAUUUCACGCAACCCUUCAAACCCAUCGUGUCCAGUCAAUCGCAUCCCAAUCCAUUGCAAGAUUAGUACACGUCCACCGCAUUCUAUUACUUGCAUUAGGGACAUUCACAUUGUUAUGCGUCUUCAUGCUCCCGCCCACACAGACCCCAAAAAUCCAACUCGACUCACUCUUCAUGUCCAAGCUUAACGUUUCAAACACGUCACUAGAGGCCAAUUGGGACAUGGCCUUCACCGUAGAAAACCCCAAUAUGGUCUCUUGGGUUUAAUUCAACCGCAUAGAGGGUUCAAUUCUGUACAAGGGCAACCCUCUCGCGACAUACUCUGUUGAGCCAUUUGACUUGGGAUUGAAGGAACAAAGAUUGAUGCGUGUGAAGAUAUCAAGGACCGGAUUACAGGAUGAGCCGGAGAUGAAGGUGUCGGAUUUGGAAGAAAUGAAUAAGCAACGUGAAGAUGGUGCUGUGAGUUUGAAGAUGGAAAUGUUUGCAUGGGCUACGUAUAAGAAGGGUUGGUGGGGAACAGAAGAUGUCAUGAUGGAGGCUCACUGUUUGGAUUUGAGGGUUGGUUUCUUGCCUAAAUUUGGGUUCGGUUGCUGUAUCAGCCUAAGGCCGAUGACUUGCUCUACUGGUUCGUAUGCUAGUUGGUUAAAUCGGAAAGUUGUUGAUUUUUUCUUUAGGCAGGACUAGGGUUUUUAGUCUGAGAUUGUAAUUUGAUGGAUGUAGAUGAAGCCUGUAAAUUAUGAACAAGGAAGAACUUGUCUUUUCUUCUCAAGGGAAUGCAUGCAUCAAAAUUGGAGACAAUGUCAACAUUCUUUUUUAUCUUUAUCCAUGUGUAAAUUGAAAAAGGAUAUCACAAUUACAAAACCUUCCACUAAACGUUUGUGGCUAUAUUUUUAAUCAAAUCAUAAGAAAAAAAAAAUUCACCACACACAAAGAAAUUGAACAUAUAUAAGAUCUCUAGAAUGGUGUAUACUUCCGUGUGUUUCGAGAAUAUAUUAUAUAUGAAACUCUUUUUCAUUAUAAAAUUUAACAAAAAGACGUAAAUUAUAAAAAAUUAAAAAUGCACGAACCAAAAAACUUAAGUGGUACCUAGUCAAACCUCGUCCAAUCAAACUCACCAUCAACUAUUAUAAACUUAGGUUGGGUAAUUUUUCAAUGUGAGACAAACUCUCAACAAACCCAGCCAAUCAAUCUGAGUGAGAUCGACUAACCGAGAGAGAGAGAUGUUGAGAAAUGUUUUGGCGGAACAGAUUCUCCAAUUUUGGAAACACAAUUUCAUUCUUUUGUUUUCACUUUCGAAAAUAAUUUGUGAAAACAUUUCCAAAAAAUGGUGCCGAACUUUUCUACAUUGAUAGGGAAAACAACCUUAAUGAUAGUGUUUGGUCUACUUUUUACUCAGAUUAUAGGUAAAGACUCUCGCUCCUAAUUAUAUGUGUUUGACUUGGUUUAGAUCUUCCAUGCACUGUUUUGUCUAAUAAAUUGAAGUGCUAAAAAGAGCAUUUUAAUUUUUUAAUUUUUUAAUUUUUAUUUUUUUUUGAGGCGGCUUAUAAAUGUCAGAGAUGGCCCCCUUGAUACUUCAACAAACCUUGCAACUCAGGUAAAUCAUGUACGAAUAUAUUCGUUAAUUUUUUUCUCUCACGUAUGAUUAAGUAUGUAGGUUGACACUUGAACAACCUUCUAUUUCUAGAGUUUUCGCUCAGCUAACCAUUUUAUUUGUUAUCAAAUGACUGACAUUUAGAAAAUCCAGUAGUUAUUCGUUAGUCCCUUUUAGCAAAUGUUAGUUGGACUCAGUUUCUGUUUAUAACCUUCUAUUCUCUAGUAGUUAAUUAGCUUUACCCUUCUCCUUUAUAUCAACUUUCCUUCCCCCAUUUCUUCAUACCCAUCUCUCUUUCUCCCCGAAACCCUAGUAAGCUGGAUUAUUGCAUCACAAGCAUAAGUUUCUAUUAACCAUGGAUUCUAAUAGAACAGCACAGCGCUCAGCCACAAUGCCACUACUCCCAGUUUCAUACAACCCUUCAAUUUCAAACCCCAACAUAUCUCUGUCUAUCACAUCUCGAUUCACUGCGAAACUAGUACUUCUCCACCGGAUUUUGUUGUUCGUGUUAGGGAUCGUCACGUUGCUAUGCGUAGCCAUGGCCACAUCCUUAGUUCCACAGCCCCCGAAAAUCAAACUCAACUCUCUCUUGGUGUCGAAAAUUAACGUCUCAAACACAAAGCUAGGGGCCAACUUUGACGUGGCCUUCACAAUAGAGAACCCUAAUCUAGUCUCGUGGAUUUACUUUGACCACAUCGAUGGUUCGAUUUCUUACAAAGAUAACGCUCUCAUAACAUACUCGUUGGACCCUUUUGUACUGGGAUUGAAGGAACAUAGAAUGAUGCGUGUGAAGAUAUCCGUGAAUGGAUUACAGGAAGAUCAGCCGGUUGUGAAGGAGAGGGUUUUGGAAGAAAUCCAUAGGCAACGUGAAGAUGGUGCUGUGAAUUUCAGCCUGGAAAUGUUUGCACGGGCUACGUAUAGGACCGGUUGGUGGGGGACAAAGUCUGUUUUAAUGAACCCUCAAUGUUUGGAUUUGAGGGUUGGCUUCUUGCCUAAAGUUGGUUUCGGAAGCUGGAUUAGUGGAGGGCCUAUGACUUGCGCAGUUCCAAUGCUAAUUGAUGACUAAAUUUGAAUUUCUUUUCCCUUUUUCAAGUUACCUAGCUAGGCUUUUUGGUUUUAGUUACAAGGGAGCCUAAAUUAAGCCUUUUAAUUGGAGGUUGUAAUGUAAUGUUACUAUCUAGUAGGAUCUUGCAAAUUAAAAGUAGAGUUGAGCUUUGUUUCCAACGGGCACUAAAAAAAAAUCAGCAAUAGUCACCUUUUUUUUCCGUGACUUUUGAAAGCAUUGGUCACCUUUAUUGGUAACUAAAAGCUUUAGUAACGAUGCAGCUACAAAUUUUGAGUUGGUGAGAUUUGUGACCAUUACUAUUGGCCUUUAUCACCAUUAAUAAAGAAAGUGACAAACAAAAUGUUGACUUUUCAGUUACCUUUACACUUAUAUUUUUUUAUUUUUUUUAUCUUUAAUUAGUUUAAUAAUUUUCUGAAUUAUAUAUGUUUUAAAUAAUUACAAUUUCCUUUUGAUAUACUUUAAUGGCAUAAUAACAAUAAUUCCUUUUUUUUCUUUUUUUUCUGAUAAGAUAAUAAUAAUAAUUCCUUGAUAAUGCACUUCAUGUGUAAAAGAGGCCUCUAAUAUUAUUAUUUAAUUAAAUAUAAAUACUCAAUUGAUACAUAAUGGUAAUUAAGUAGUACAAUAUUUUCCUAAUGAAUACAAAAUUUGUACAAUCCUAUGCAAACAAUAAUACAUACACGCCUAAGAAGACCUGUAGCUAGUACUUUCUAAUCCAAGCACUCCUCCGAUCCUACCAUACAAACGAAUGAAGCAACUGAAGUGUCCUCCAUUCCUGCAAUUGAAGUGUCCACCAUUCCUGUAAGUAAAUCCAAAUGACAAAGAAUGAAAUUAAAGAGUCCCAAGUACUAGAAGUUAGUAGAUAUUCAAGCUUAAGGAAUUACAACCUCACCCUCUUCUUUUGUAGUUGGUAGCAUUAAACGUUCAUUUGUCUAUGGUGAAGGGAUCUGAUCAUUGUUUGUAGUGAACUAAUAGUAGUUCACAUAUCAUAGUUCAAGAAGAAGUUAGAGGUAGAGCAAGGGCAUAGUUCAAAUAGGGAAAGAAAGAGAAAAGGGAAGAUCAAAAUAAAAUAAAAUCUAAGAAAAUAAAAAUCUUGUAGUAAUCUAAAUGAAUAACCCCAACCCACCAAUGUUCAAGGGAAGAGAAACUCAGAUAAAAUAACAUCUUUACAACUCAGAAAUAGAAAAGGUGAAUUACAAAGAGUAUAUUAAUAAAAUAGAAUAAAUUUAAACGGACCUGGGAAUAGAGGUGCCUCUAGCAAUUCCACUGCCCCUGCAGAACUUGAUCUUCCUACAUCAUAGAAUAUCAAAGAAUAUAUUAAUAUAUAAAAAAGUAGAAAGAAAAAAACUUAUACAUAAAACAAAAUACAAGGAAAGUCAUGACUGAAGCAAGCCCUACUCUAGCUCUCAGAUCUGAGAUAUAACAUCUCAUAUUUGAGAUUUAAUCUAAAAGGACCUCCCAGAGCCAAAGAAACUCGCUAGAAAAACUAGGGAGAAAUAACAAACUCUGUCAAAAGCAAGGAGAUAACCAAAAAAAAUGGAGGGAUCGGGGUGAAAACCACCGGAUCUAAAAAGAAAAAAGGGGUUGCUGGGUUGUUUUGAGAGAGAAGAGCUUAUAAAAGAAAAGGGGUUGCUGGGUUGUUUUGGGUUGUCAAAAGCAAGCCCUUUAGAAAUUCAACUAGAUCAAGUAAUCUCACACUUUAAAGAAAAUGGGUUACUUUAAUGGUUAACCAAUGUAAUAUUUAAUUCUUUUUUUAUACGUAUUUCCAUUUUUAAUGUGUUCUAUACAUAUUUAAUUGGAUUACUAUUCUCAAGGAAGAUUAUCCUCAAAUAUUAUAUUUAACAAAUUACUGCUAUGUGUCAGUUGGUUUACAUUUAUUAUAUUUAAAUCAAUAGUCACCAAUUCUUUAAAGUGUGAGAUAAUUAGUCACAAAUAAUGGUGACUAGUAACCAAAGUCAUUAAUCACCCAUUCAAAUGUCACCAAAACUAUUUUGUUGCUAUAAAAAUGUGACUAAUGCUUUCUUUUUUUGUAGUGGGGAAUCUAUCAAAAUAGAAGUAAAGUUAUAUACGUACAAAUAUUUUGGUGAUAUUGUCUCAUGGAAGACGCAUAAAACCAUGUCUCUGUGAAAUUUUUAGAUGCUUGUAAAAAGCCUCUUCUACGUGGAUGUAUUACCUAAACUUGAUCGAGGACACUUUUUAUUCACAUACUAAGAAAUAUUUUAACUAGAUGCCUUCAAAAUAUAGUUAACUAAAUAGAGGCCUUCACUACACAUGCCAAAAUUUAAAAAGGAACAGAUGGAUUUGUGGAAUUUGGACAUCUAAUUCUAUUAUAUUUGUUUCUGUAUAAGCACUACAAGUUUGAAAUUGGCACAAUAAACUUUAGAUGAACUCUCAAAAUGAAACCGUUUUUGGGGUGUUUUGUUGUGCACUCUAGCGAUGUGGAAAUACUCGCUUGACCUAGUUUGAUGUCGAAUUACUUGGAAGUAAAUAGCUUUGAAGAAAGUUGAGGUUGAAACUUAAGUUUGGAUACUUCAUAAAGAAAUUUGGCUUUAAAAUGACUAUGGGUGCUUAAAAUCCAAUCAAAAUGGCCUAAACUGACUAAUCCAGUCCAAUCAAAUGCACUUUUGAUCAUUUUGAAGGCCUUAGGCAGGUUGAAUAUAGAUAGUUGUGUUCAUACUUUUUUGCUCUCAUACACGUGCGAUUGAAUAAAUUUUGAUUAAUUUUAAGUCAAUCAAAGUUAUGUUUAGUCCAUUUGAGAUCCUGUAGGGGCUUUUUCUUUUCGGCAGCUACUGUGGGCCUAGGCUGCUGUAAAGAGCUAAAUGUGUAAAAAUUGUCUCUGGGUCUGAGUUCAAGAAUUAGGCCCCGAGAAUGCUUCGAAAGGGUAGCUAAGCCUUAGGAAGCACCUUGGUUACCUUCACUAACAAAACUAACAGUUACUUACAGAUAAAUUCUUAGCUUUGACAUGAUAGACUUGUGGUAUGGAAGCAAAGCAAUCAUGAGUUUAGCAUUGAAGAGAGAGAGAGUUGUGAGUUCAUAUGAGAAACAUGGGUUCUAAGGAGAAGGGGAAGGGAUUCUAAGUGGGUUUUUUGAAGAGAGAGAGGGAUGAGGGUAUAUUAGGUGUGUUGAGUAGUUUCCGGCAGCUCGAUGAAAACUCUGUCAAACUUUGGAACAGUUUACCAAAAGGAAAAAUGGGGAGAGAUGGAAGGAGAUGAGGCUCGAAAUUGCAGAGGUUUCAGAGGUGAGAGAUAAAACUUGCUUUCCAGAUAUGUGUUGUUUGGGAUAAAGAAGAAGGAGAUAGAAGGUGAGGCACUUGGGCUUGAUGUUUCCAGCAGUUGGAGAAUAAGCUUGCUCAACUGCUCUGGUUGAGUUUAAUGAGUAGGAGGUACCUUCUUUUAUAGCCGCUAGAAGCUCCUCCUUCUCAAGAAACCCUAAUGGGUUCUCUCCAAUUUUGCCAAGUCUCCCCUUUCACCCCUUUCAUUUCUCUUCUCUCCCUUCGAUCCAUCCCAUUUUGUGAAAUUCUCUUCUGCCCAAUACUUUAUCAGAUUUUUGGGAAUUCAGAAGUUUUCCCGCAGCCAUUCCAGUGGUGAUUUCUUAUUUUUGGCUAUCAUCUCUCAUCCUUUCCUCCCUUAUUUCAUGGCAAGAUCUGGUAAAGGAAGGAGAUAGGUAAAUUUGGCUAGUCUGAAGGCUGCCUUUUCUCUUGCGCGCACCAAUAUCCUCUGGUUUUUUGAGCGAUCUGCCUUAAGGUUUGUUUUGCCCACUUGCUAGAGCCUCCCAGCAGUUCACAUACAUGGGCAACUUUGGCUUUUGUCUUGGCUUUUGUCUCCAGCUAAGUGAUGGAGAUUGCAGAUAUUUUGCUUGGUUGCUUGGGCCUUCCUAAGGUGAUGGGUUAACCCAUUAAGGGAAUGGGCUAAUUUCCUAAAGUGAUAGGCUAUUUUAUUGAGAUGAUGGGCUAAUUUUUCCUAAAAUAUUGGGCUAUUUCUCUCCUUUAUUCUUACCCACAUAUUUGAGCUCAAGAAAUGGGCUUGAGUUUUAGGGCUCUCAAGCAACCCAAAACUUCCAUUUCUCGGCUCAUCAAUAAGCCUCAUGAAAGCUCAUUACCAUCCAUACCACAACCCACUCAGCAAGCCCCGAGCAUUUUUCAUGGCUUGGGCCCACUUAAACUUGUAGCGUGGCUAGGUAAAUAAUAAUGAUUUUUCGCUUGGCAUUGCAUAUCGUUUGGCAUGCUUGAAUUUUGUCGCUUUGAAGAGGGAUAUGAAGCUUGACAGGAUAAUUAGCUUGGGGUCGUAAAGCCAGUGCUUAUUUCAACUCUUAGCAUGACAGAUUACAUAUUUAUUUGGCAUGGCACGUGGAUCAUGACUCGUGCAAGCGUGAAUGACAAACCUUCGCGUGCUCCAAAUCAGGUCUUUUUUUUAAUAAAGCAUUGCUUUGGGUCGGAAAUUUAUUUGGGUCAACCCUGAAUUUUUUGGGCCUCAACAGAUCCAAAACACUCUUACUUACAAUUUAAUUUUUACUUCACAUUCAUUUAUAUAUAUGUAAUUUGAUUAGAUAAUAUAUUGAAUGCUACGUCACCAAUUAAUUUAUCAAUAUUCACUCGUCACAUCAUAUUUAUUUUUAACAUCCUCAACUUUCUAAUUUAGUAUUUGUGGUAAUUCAAGAGCCACCGCAACAAUUUCGUCCCAGCAUCACGCUGCUGCCACCACCUGCCACUCCCCAACGGUUAACCAAACAAUGUAUAAGUUCAGGUUAUGAACCGUUGCGAAAUCACCGUGAAUUAACUUCAUUUGCUUUAACUAAUGAUGUUUAAUGGAUAUCACUAUUCAAGCAAACUAACAGUUUUAUCGGUUAUCAAAUUAAUGAAGUUUAGAAAUCUUCUUUCGCAUGUUUGUUAGAAUCUAGUUAUUCAGGUUUUUAACCGUUUUUGGUAGUUAUUUAGUUUUUUUUUAACAAUCUCUAGUGGUUUACAGUUUCCAUGGCCUUCUACUUUAUAUCCCAACUCUCUCACACAUUUCCACAAACCCAUCUCUCUUUCUCUCUCAAUUUCCUAUCAUCAGCCGUGGAAAUUAAUGCAAAAGCUGAUCAGCACUCAGCUACCAUGCCCCUACUCCCAGUUUCAUAUAGCCCGUCAAACGACAACGUUUCGCAGUCUGUUAAAUCAAGACGCAUUUCCAAAUUAUCCGUCUUCCAACCCAUUAUUCUAUUAUCACCUACAUUAUUAAUAUUUGGGACCUUGGCAUUGCUGUGCAUUUUCAUGUCCUUAUUGUCCCAAGUUCAUCCACAAGCCCCAAAUGUCCAACUAAACUCGCUCUUCAUGUCCAAAUUUAACAUCUCCAACACAACAUUGGGGGCUAAUUGGGACAUGACCCUUACAAUAGACAACCCCAACCUGCUCACAUGGGUUCGUUUCAACCACAUCAAGGGUUCAAUGUCGUACAAAGAUAACAUCCUCGCGAUAAGCUCCAUCGAGCCAUUCAUGUUGGGAUUGAAGGAACGAAGAACGGUGAGGGUGAAGAUAUCGACGAUGGGGUUGGGGGAAGAGGAUCGUGAUCAUCAGCUGGUGGUGAAGAAGAGGGUUUUGGAUGAGAUGAUGAGCAAGAGACGUGAGGAUGGAGCUGUGCAUUUUAGCAUGCAAAUGUUUGUUUGGGCCACGUAUAGGACUGGUUUGUGGGGGACACAACAAGAUGUUGUGAUGAGCCCUCAGUGUUUGGAUUUGAAGGUUGGGUUCUCGCGUGGAAUUGGGUUCGGGAGUGGGAUUAGUGGAGGGCCUAUGAUGUGUUCUGUUCCUAUAUUAAUUAAUUGACCAAAUUAGACUUUUUCUUUCUUUUUUCAUGUAGAGGUUUUUAGUUUUAGAUUGUUAAUUUGAUCGAUGUAGGAGAAUCAAAAUCGAACCUGUAAAUUAAGAACAAAGAAAUGAAUUGUUUUACGCAUCAAAAUUGAAGGUGAAUAUGAACGUGAUGUUAUGAAAUUCUUUGAUGAUCUUUGUCUGGACUUGGAUAAAUAAAAAAGUGUAUACUAGUGAUUUAUCUUAUGAAUUUGUACUUAACUUUUGAUUUGCCCUAUCUUUUUUUUUAAAGAAAAUUAAGGAUAUAAACUUUUUUUUUCCGUCAAUUUCUCCCUUACCGUCUAAAUCCACAACAUUUCAUCUAAUUUGUCGUUAAAUAUGAGGGCAAAUUGGUCAUGUUGUACUUCUAAAAUAAAAUAAUUUGAACUUUGAAAUAAUAAUAAAUAAUGAUAGGAAAAAAAAAGGUUUUUUUUUUUUUUUUUUUUUUAAGAGUAGAGAAAAUGUCAUCCUCAGACUUCCUAUUAGCCUCUGAAUUUCUGCUUACCAACUCCACUUCCUAUAAGCUUCAUACCAACCCCUUUCUUCCCCAAAAUUGAACACAUCCCAUACAACAACACCAAAACCUCCACCAUAUAUUUGAACAAAAUCCCCCAUAUGUACUUAUUUGAACACACACAAAAAACCCAGAUCCAUUUGAUCAAAAAUCGCACAAGGGGCAGAGGGGUUGUGGUGAGGUGGGUGAUUUUGUGGUGUCAGGGAUGGACCUGGGGUUUGGGGGAAGAGAGAGAGAGUGUGUGAUGGUUGUGGGGUGGUGGCUGUGGGAGGGUGAGUUGUUGAGAGAGAGAUGGAGAUUGCGAUGGAUAAAGGGGUGGUCGUGGGUUUAAGGGUGUGUUGUGAAAAGGAAGGCAGCGACGGUGGGAAGGGGGGAUGGGUUGCGAAUUAGUCUUGGGGUGAGUUGCAGGUGGGAAAUGGGUAGUCAGGUUGGGGAAGAAAAAGAGAGAAGGGAGGGGGGUUCUGUGGGUAGGAUAGGUUUUUGUUUUGUUCCUUUUUUUUAUAAUUUUUUCUAAAAAUAUAAAUUUUAUUUUAAUAAUUUAACUGAAAAUUGGAUGCAAUGUUGAUGAUUUAGACGGUAGGGAGAAAAUUGGAGAAAAAAAAAUUUUAUAUUUUUAAUUUUCUAAAAAAAAAAUGAUAGGGGGUCAAUUGAAACCAAGGUAUAAGUCAAGGGACAAAUCACUAGUAUACCAUAAAUAUUUCACUACAUAAAUGAAAUAAACAGAAGAUUUCUAGAAUUUACACGUGCUCUUACAGAAAUUUCAUUAAGUAUUUGGUGUGCAAAUGAAUUUUUAUUAAUUUACUAGAGUCACCCUGAAAAUAAAAUAAUUAUCAGAAUAUAACUCAAAUUUAAAUCUCCUUUUUUUCUAUUAAAAACAACUAAUCCUCCUCGUAAAAAUAUUUACUCUCCUCAUUGUUUUUCGGUUGGAUCCUCCACUUACAUUAUAAUUGUAAUUUAUGCUAAUAGGGUCUAGUUCAGUUAAAAAAUACUUUGAUUUGCAAACUAUUGGUCUCAAGUUUGAAUCAUAUAGCACCGUGAUAGGUCUAUAUGAGAAACCCCACUCUCUAUAGUUUGGACAAAAAUUAUUGAUAUUUGAUCUAUCCUUUCAGAUGUACUUGACUCUUUCCAAACUAUUUGCACUUGUGAAAGGACACGAACUGCAAACAUCACUUCGUUUUACCAAAGCCAAAAAACGUCUUCAACCACCACGCGUAUAUAUCCUUCAAAACAAAUAAAAUAAUUGCCCUGCAAACGCAACUUGAUUUUAACCGCUGCCAUCUUCCCUCAUUUGUUCCUCUCUUCUCCCUCAUCAUCUCCACCUUUCUCCCAUCCAUUAUAAAUCCUUAAAUUCAGUAACUUAUAAUUAGUACUGGGAAUUUUGCUUCACAUAUUGGAUUGAUUCAAGACCAAGGAAACUUAGCAUCACAAGGUACGGCUUUCUUUCUCUAUCUUUAAAUUGUUAUAAACUUCGUCUGGGUAAAAUUAAGUUGUCAAAAUCAGUAAUUUGGUGAACGGUUAUAAAAUCCAAGUCUUGCAAAUUGUCUCUUUGAUUUGUCCUCUUGAAGCUUCUUAUUUGAUUAAUUAUACCAAGUGAGUAAUCUAUUUGGAGAGUGUCUUACAAGUAUGUUUGUAGCAACAAAUACCCUGCAAUACUGCAUUUAAGAACAAACUACCUACUGCCAACGGGGUCUAGCCUAGUGGUAAAGGGCCUUGACUUGCAGAUCAGAGGUUUCAGGUUCAAAUCUCACGGCAUCAUAGUAGUGUGUGUGUGAGAAAUCCCCCACCCCUGUAGUUUAGACCAUCACUUGUACUAAAAAAAAAAAAAAACUAUUGAACAAACUACCUACUACAUUUUAUUUCUAAUUUCUUGUUAGACUUUUUAUAGCUUUGGCCGAUCACUCUUUUUUUUUUCUUUUUUUUUUGGUUGUGAAAUUAGUAAAAUAGUAUUUUUAAAUUGAGGAAUUAACAAUUUUAAUUCGGUCUAUAGAUUAUAUUAAAAAAAAUGAUGUUCUAACAUGUUAUAUAUUGCUAGACUACGAACCACGAGUAUUCUCUUUCACUGAAUAAUCGGUGAAAAUUUCCCUAACAUAUCCAUCUUGAACUUUGUAUUCUCUCUUUCAGGAAGAGUUAUGCAUGGCUUCUUUGUGGUGCAAAAAGUCUCCAGAUUGCAGUAAAAUUCGUGGAUACAUCCUGCUUUUUGUUAUAGUGGUGAGUCUAGCAACAGUCAUCGGAUUUUCUCUCUGGUUCUUAGGCAACUAUGUGGAUUCAAAGUCCGGCCCAGGAACAGACCCCCUUGUGCUUCGUUUGGAUGCAUUUUCUCUAUCGAAUUUCGAGGUUUCGAAUUCAUCAUUCUCAGCUGAAUGGGAGGCCAAGUUGACAUUUGGGAACCAAAACGGUGGCCUAACUGUUACCCUCAACCCCUUUGAGAGUUAUGUGUUCUAUAAAGAACGUGAGGCUCUAUCAUGUGCUUCUGUGGAUGCAAUGUUGCAUGUUCCUCCAAGGAAACAGAAAACUCUGCAGAUCAAAUUUGAUCCGACAAGUUGCGGAGGAGAACAGCCGUAUGUGGAGGAUCGAGUGAUGAAGGAGUUGAGUGAAGAUCGAAAGAGUGGUCACCUUAGCUUUAGUUUGAAAAUGCGCAUAGAUGCUUCUUAUAGUAUGAGGGAGCUUUUGGGAAUGGGAACCCAAGUGACUUUAAAUCCUAACUGUUCAGGGUUGAAGGUUCAGUUUGAGGGUGCAAAAGGGGAGGGAAAGAUAAAUGGGGGCCGCAAGUGCACCAUUCCAUUACCUAAAUGAUCAUGCAAUUCUUACCGUAGGUAAGGGCCGGCUCUGAAAUUUUAAGGGAUUAUAGCAGGCGAAGAUAAGCUCAUGAAAUAGGAUUAAUGUAAAUUUCGUAUAGAUAAGUUGUUUAUUUCAAAAAAAUUGAGUCCUUUUUACUUGGGCCAGAGCACUUGAAAAAAGUAGGCAAAGCCCAACUUGUGAGAAAUUCUUGUGAUUUAAAAGUAGCAGGUUUUGCUAUAUAAGGAAUUAUUAACUCAACAAGUAACGGAUGUCACGUAAAAGGAAAUCAAAUCAAUGUGAUUUAAUUUUCUGGUUUUCUUCUCAUUUUAAAUUUUAAGCACCCUUGCAUUAAAUCAUUGAGUUUAUGCCAAAGGAUGCCAAUUAGCAUUAACACUGAGCUUAUCCAUUUUUGACCUCCAUGAAUUAAUGACAUAAAUUUUUUGAACCAAAAUGUGCACUGAUUCUCUGAAUUUGACUGCCAUUUCAAUAUUAGUUUUUCCCAAUACUCUCCCAUUCACACCUUAACUCAUUGCAGAAAAACAAAAAUGGGCCCUUUGUGGUCUCGUCGCCACAAGGCACUGGCGGAAGAAAUGUCCUUGAAAUUGGCUGCUGCUACAAUCCUCAUCACAUUACUUGCAUUUGUCACCACCGUAUGCUUGUCGUUGAACGGCGGCGUUCGAACAUAUCCCAUUGCCAUUGCUCAGCACUCUUUCUCUGUCUCAAACACAACGAAACUCGUCUCUGAACUGCAGAGCGCUGUUUGGGAUGCAGAGUUGAAGUUCAGCCAGAACAGUGAUCUGCAAGUUCACAUCAAACACUUUCAGGGCUUCGUGUACUACCCGAAAUUCGAACCGCUGUGGUGUGCCUCACUGAAGCCAGUGGACGUUGAGUUCAGGAGCCCAAAUGGGCUGCACAUAAGAUUUGAUAUGAGAGAGUGUGGGGAGGAAGGGCUCGGGGUUUCGACAGAGGAAGCUCUGAAGGAGGUUCGUUUGGAAAUGAAAAUGGACCUGGUUGUGCCUUACCAGUUUGGAAAGACCAGAAUUUGGGCCUGGCUUUGGGGAUUGAGUGUUGAAGAAUCUUGUUCUGAGUUGAGAGUUGAAUUUGUGUCUUCGGUUGGAGAGGGGAAACUGAUUGGUGAGGGAGGAUGGUGCUUUGUUCCAUUGCCUGAGUAAUUUUGAGUUAUGAUCAACUCAUGCCAAUCUAAAUAAUCUUUGUUUUUGCUUCCCCUUUUAUUUAAUUUUGUUUUGUUUCUCCUCUAAAUUAUUACCUCACAGAAUUAGGCAUCAAGCAGACAGACACAAAGAAGAGAGUUUGAGUCUCCACUCUCCUCUCUUUUUUUUUUAAUACGCAGAAAAGAAAAAUAUGAAACUGACAGGAUCACCCUCCAUUCAUACUGAAGGAGACGAGGUUACGUGACUUUGCAGUUUUCAUAGUGAAGUUUGAAAAGGGUCAAAUAAUGCCAAGAUUUUGUCACUUUCUUCGUUUCAAUGUUAAAUGUCCUCGAUUAUCACAAUCAUGAUUCAUCACGCCUCGUUUACUUCUUUAGCUUUUAUUUCCAUGUUCGAUUAAUUUCUUAAUCCCUUCAUUUUCUCCCUUGAUUGUUUCCUUUAAAUAUUCUAGUUUACCAUUUUUAGUAUAAUUCUCUUGUAUUUUUAGUUUUCCGUGUUGGAUUAAUUUCUUGUAUAAAUACUGAAUUCUGCUCCCAGUAGCGCUAUGGGCACCAACUUUUUUUAUCAAUUUUUUGAUACCAACUUAUGUAGCAACUGACAUGGCAAUUCAAGUCAUUUGCCACCUCAUCUAUUUUAUUUGAAUAAUUUAAAUUAAUGCACAUAAUCUAUUUUAAAUUAAUUUAUUUAACUUUUAUAUAUUUAUCUCUUCUCAAGUCAUCUCCAUCAUCCAUUCCCAGCCAACAGCUCCUCCAUCGUAGCACCGCCACGAUCAUGAUGAUAGCAAAUUGAUGGUUACGUUUAUAGAUGAUAAGAUGAUGCUCAUCUCUGAUUUUGGGUUUUGGACAUUUAUGGUUCCUGGAUUUGGUUGAGAGUAUGGCGAGGAAGAAGAAUCAAAGGAGAGUAAAGGCAUGAGCAUAUAUAUAUAUAUAUAUAUAUAUAUAUAUAUAUAUAGUUCUGAUCUUUUGGACCACAGGAGUCCAAGAAAUUUGUGGUCACUCACCGUUGGAUGUAAAUUCAACGGUUCACUCACUCUUGCACUCAUUUUAAAAAACUUUUUUCAACCAUUGGAUUAAUAUCCAACGGUAGAUAACCACAAUCUCUUAGACUCCUGUGGUCCAAGAAAUCAUCGGGACUAUAUAUAUAUAUAUAUAUAUAUAUAUGAAUAGAGUUGGUGAAUCAUAGGAUCUUAUAUGCAGUCUCACACCGAUCACAUCCCAUAUAUUUGGUUUUUCUUUGGAUGAUAAUCACUGGUUUUCUUUGAACUUGGCUGGAAAACUAUUAUUGCUUUGUUGAUUAUUAAUAUUAUUGUAAAUUCUACAAAACAACUAAUUACGUUGAUACUAUGAUUGGUAUGAAAACAUUGAGGAUUUAACAAAUCAGUUAAGAGAGGUGUGAUGAGAGCUCUUCAAUGGAAGGAAUGAUUAUUGAGUUUCUAGGGCUUUUUUGGGGUUGGGGAAGGGUUCACCGUUGAACCAAAACUUAUGGGUAUUUUUCUUUCUUUUUAUUUUGUUGGACAAUUUCUCUUUCUUUUCUUUUUUUUCUUUUUUCUUUGUUCAGGAACAAAAUGUGUAAUUAAAAAAAAUGACAUGGCAAAUGACAAGGAUUGCAAUCUCAUGUACUACAUCUAUUGGAGAAAUUAUAGAAUGCUAUUGUAUUACCAUGUCAGCUAAUUAUACUUCCAUUCAAAAUAUGUCAUACGUCAUUUUAAAAAAAGUAUAAUUUUUUGUUUUACAGCUGGACUUUUGCCCUCUAGAAUAAUAUUUGAAAAAACAAAAAAACCAAAGACGCCGGAAACCAACUCCCACGACAACUCAAAUCUUCCUACCUUGCACUACCAACCACCCAACCCAAUCGCCCAAGGGUUUUGAUUGGCCACCUGGUUAAUCUAAAACAAGAACCACAUAAAGAAAUAACUGGAAAUAACAAUAACUGAUUAUUCCCUUUGUGGUUUCUGUACAAAUGAUUAUCAACAAACCAAAAAAAUAAAAUAACCAGCACACUAUAGAAACCUGUCGAGUCCCUAAACGAGCUUCAUAAUCCAUGGACUAUUGGGUUGGUGGAAGAAGUGCGAGGAUGGGGAUUGGGUUGUGGUGGGAGGUGGUUUCGAGUGGCUUCUUUGGGUUUUUCCUUUUCUAAAUUUUUUUAAUAAAAAAGUCUUAUUCUACAGUUAAAAGAAAGUAUUAAAUUCAGCUGUAAAAAAAAUUAUAAUUUUUUAAAAAAACAUGAUAUAUAGCAUAUUUUGAAUGAAAGUACCGCUAGCUGACGUGAUAGUACAGUAUCAUUCUAUAAUUCUCCAUGUGUUGGUAUCAAUUAAUUGGUAAACAAGUUAGUGCCCGUAGCAUUAUUGUUUUGCUCCUUUCAAUUAGGGAUGAGCAUUGGUGGAUCGAACAGGUUUGGACGUUACACAUCAUGUGAAUCGGAUUUAUAACCACCGAUACAUCGACAAGUCCAACUCAGUUGAUUUGCGGGUUGGGUCAGGCAGGCACCGCAAGUUGGAGGAAGGUGAAACUUGCACAGAGCCAAAUAGAUGAAGCCUUGAAGAUGGAACUUUGAACUUGGUUGGUAGGUGGCUAUGGCGGGGCGACAACUAUAUCAAGAGACAAUUUCAUAUUUGGGAGUGAGGGAAUGAGGGCCACGUCAUGUUCAUGUAUGUAACUUGCAAAAAAAUUGUACAAUUUUCCAUGGGAAAAUUAUGCUCUCCCCACGUAGCUUCUCCUCUAAUAGUUGAGGAUGAAGGAGAUAAGCAAUCAGACAAUGGGAAAAUUUUCAAGUAUGGUGUUUCGGGCAGAGGCACUCAGAAAACACACCUAAGUAUUCCCCUAAAUAAACUCAUGCUUGCAACACAUGAUCUUUAAUGUGUGCCAUUGUUCGUGGCCAUGAAGAUUGACAUGGGGGUGCUAAUAUGCCAAUUUUGCUAGCUAUAAUCCUUUUGUCUUCAUCACUUAUUUCCUUAACAUAGAUUACAACUCCUAAUUAAUUACCUUGUCCUACGCUCUUUCCGCGGCUUUUCACAGCACACCCACCUAUUUUUACACUCUCAUUUCCUUCAAUAAUUAAUCUCCCUCCAAUACACAUUUUAAUCCCCUACCCCAAAAACUCCCUCCUUCUCUCUCUCUCUCUCUCUCUCUCUCUCUCUCUCUCUCUCUCUCUCUCUCUCUCUCCCGGAAGAUUCCUGAGAGAGAGAACGAACAUCCCGUAUAUAUAAUUAAUAGCAGCACAUAUGGCUUCCACAACCGAAACUAAUCAACCCCGCUCCUCCGACCAACCCGCAACACAAUCAUCAGAAGCCCACCAACCUCGAGCCCCCAUUGACCCCUACCCCCCGCCCGCCGGGGGCACCUAUCCGCCAUCCAACAUGAGCUACGCGCACCCACAAGGAUACCCCACCGUAGCGCCCCCCUACCACGGGUACCACCCGAGCGCCUACAACCCUUAUUACGGGGACCCCUACUACACCACCACCUCCUACAACCAAGCUGACGAGGCCGCCAGCAGCUGCUUCCGGUGCUUCUGCAUCAUCAUGUUCCUCCUCGUCAUCUUCACCCUCCUUGCCAGCAUCGUCAUGUUUGUCGUGGUCCGCCCGGAAACCCCGGCCUUCAAGGUCGAGUCCUUUAGCGUCUCCAACUUCAACCUCGUCCCAGGGAGCAAAGUGCUCUCCGGGAAAUGGGAGGCCUCCAUCUACGUGGACAACCCCAGCUACAGGAUGAAGUUGGAGAUAGACAGGUGGGAGACCUCCCUGUACCACAAGGACAACUAUCUCGCGAUGGGCUCCGUCAUGCACUCCAUGAAUCUCGAAUCUCGGUCAAAAGGCACGAUGCACAUGAAGAUGGAGACGUACAAUACAACGGCGAGCAGCGCGGUAGAGGACAUGGAGAAGGAGCAGAAGGAGGGCGGGAACGUGAGCUUCAAUUUGAGGUUGACGCUUUCGUACGACAUGAAAGCCAGUGGUUUUUUGUAUAAUCACUAUAGUAACUACAGAAGUGGGACCCUCCGGGUGAAAUGCUCGGAUUUGAAGGUGCCGCUGCCGGCGGGGUCAAAUACUGGCAGCAUGCCCAGUGGGAGCUCGAAGGCAUGCGAUAUCUCCGAUGGUUUCUGAUUAUUUAGUCAUAGACGAGAAAUGGGUCGGAUAUUUUUUGUAUGGUCUCUCGGUCUCAUUUACUUUCUUCCCAUGUCUCCUCCAUAUGUGGGAAUUGUGUAUUUGGCUAACUUAUAUUAGACGAAGUCAUAUGUUCAUAAUUUUAGAAACCCUUAAAUCUGUUAAUUUUAUUGUAGAAAAUUCUUUAGACUAUUGUUUCUAGGAUUUCUUGUGCUUUGUUUAAUUUUAAUUUUGUUAUAACUAUAUAGUGACACAUAAUGACUAACUCGGGAUCUGACCGUAUUUCUCUUUUCAGUAUUAAAAGGCAUUAGUCAUAUUAUUUCAUGUUUGUAUCGAAUUACACAAUACUAACCGAAGUUAUAGAAGAUUCUUAAUCCAUUCAUUAAUCAUGUAUGGUUAACUAAAUGCAAAAUUUCUCAACUUUAACAUAAGUUACUCAUUCUUUGAUAAAAACAUAUAUAUAGUUUAUAUUCAAUUGAAUAUGUUUGGAUAAAUUUUAGCUUUCGUUAUUGACCAAUGAUAUGGAGAACACUGCACAAUGUGAUCCGCGAUCGUCCCUUCAUGUCUAUUGUUUUUGAGGCACUUUGCAAAUAAGUCUCUCCAAAUUCUAUUUCAUAAUCAAAUUUGAACUAAAAAAAUAAACCUUUAGACCCGACUUUUAUUGAAUCUAAUAAUACCAAUUGAUAGGUCAACAGCGUUUAGCUCACUGAAAAAGUGAUAUUGACAGGAGAAUAAUUAUGUAGUUUAGACUAUUCAGUCCUGAUCUCUCAGACCACAAGAGUCCAAGAAAUUGUGGUCACCCACCGUUGAAUAUUAAUCCAAUGGUUCAAAAAAGUUUCUUAAAAUGAGUACAAGAGUGAGUGAACCGUUAAAUUUACAUCCAACGAUGAAUGACCAUAAAUCUCUUGGACCCCUGUAGUCCAAGAGAUCAGAACUGCUAGACUAUUAUCACCAACAUUAGGAUGUGUAUUGCACUAAUUGUGUUUUUUCUUCGUGAAAAAGCUCCAUUAAACGAGUUGACAAAACAUCUAUAAAAAGUGUUAGGCUCAACAUUAUGCUUAAAGCAAAGGCCACCAAAAAAAAAAUAACGAAGUAGGAGUCCAACAAACACGCAUAUGUCCAUUUGGGCUUUAUCGAUUCAAAUACGCGGAGCGGGUAACCGCGAACCCGAACCCGCUUCGCAUAAGAAACAGAUAGGGACAAUGACGAGCCGACAAGUGUCACCACCGUAGAAGGCGGGGAGAGAUUCCUCAGUGCGGCGCUUCAACUUAAGUCUACGCCCUCUGCCAAACAAAAAAGAAUACAAAAAGAAAAAACAUAGAAUUACGCGUUAUUUGCCAAGCAAUUCUAUCAACAAUCAAACUGUAGCCCUCAAGCAACUUUGUGCUCUCAGAAAUUUUUUUUUUUUUUUUGUGGUAAUUUUUUUUCGCAUAGUAUAUCUAUCGUAUCGACCGACCAAACACCUCCUCCUCUACCUCUACGCCUACCUUUUAUUUUUUCCUUACCUCUCUGUCUCUUGGAAACCAAAAACUCAAUUAGCUCUCUCCGCUCUCAAAUGGCUACCUCAGCUGCCGGCGCCGAUGAUGGUCGUAACAAGACGGUGACCGGCUACCCAGUUGAGCAGGGUCAAUUCGCAGCCGGCUACCCAGCCGCCGGAGCCUACCCCUACGUGGCCCCACCGCCGCCUCCUCACGCCAACACUUACCGGCCCAUGGGCCCACCUCCUUACUACGCCCCUCGGCCCACUGGGCCCAUCACGCCCAAUAGGCCCACCCUCCUCUGCCGCCUCCUCAUUGCCGCCAUCGCCGUCUUCGCCAUCAUGUCCCUCGUCUUCUUCAUCGCCUGGCUUGCACUCCGCCCCCGCCUCCCCGAGUUCCGGGUCGAAUCGGCCUCCGUCUUCCCGCUCAACGCCACUGGCUCCGAGCUCACCGCCACCUGGGACCUCACCCUCCUUGCCAACAACCCCAACCACAAGCUCAGAAUUUACUACGACAGCAUCCAGGCCUCACUAUUCUACGGCGACGAUUACCGGCUCGCCACGACGUCGUUGCCUCCCUUUGUUUUGACCAAGAGGAACCAGACGCGUGUCGGGUUCAAGCUGGCGACGGUGGGGGAGUACGUCGGCAAUUACGUGGCCAAGGGGAUCUCCGACGAGAGGGAUCGUGGGUCGGUGAGGUUCGGGCUAGGAGUUUUUGCUUCGGUUCGGUUUAGGUCUGGAGUGUUCCAGUCGAGGCCUCGCGUGUUGCGGGUCUUCUGCGAAAGGGUCGAUUUCGGGUUUGCCCAGAAGAAUGGGACGGGGACUUUGACGGGUCAGUCAAGUCCGUGUGUGGUUGACGUGUGACUGUGAGUAUAAUUAGUCCAUUGGAUUAACACAAAUUGGUAAAUGCUAUAUUUAGUCGUUGUUCAUGAUUUUGGGUUAUGGAAUAUAAUUCGUGAUCUUCUGAAUCCAAUUUCUCUCUGUUCUUUUAUGCUAGCUAAUGAUAGUAUAUUUUUUUUCAAUUAUUUUAUUAUGAUUUCUACUAGUUUUCUUUGUUUUGGAGGUAAAUACCAUUUUCCCCGUUUUGCAUAUGCUAAUUGGCAUUUGAAGUGUUGAGAUGGGUUAGAUGAUAAUAUGGGACAUUGCCACAUUAGGUUUUGUAUUUGUGUUAGAAUAAAGAGCAAUGUGAUUGUUUUUAGUGUUCUGGGGCUUUGUCAUUGUGAUUCAAACUCCAGAGCCAGAGACUGUAGGGUAUUGAGUGUUGCUUGGUGAAGCUUUAAUCGAGUGUUGACUCAUUUGGUAGAGAUGCAUAAAUGCAUUCUGAAUGGAUUAUAGGGUUUUCCCUCCACCCUUGAAUGCCACUUACCACACAGUCACAAGGAAAAAAGUAAGUGCGCACCAACCGUAGUUGUCUCCAAGCAUAACAUUUGAAGAAACUCAUCCCUAUUGUUUGUUAAUGAUAUCAAACCAUUGUUCGUGCCUUCAAAGAUUAUGCGCUUGAGAAGAAUGGUAAAGACUUUAUUUAAGCAUUGGAUUUGUGGUAGUGGCUACUAAGCCUCUCUGUUAGGAUGUCUGUUUUAUUGUGCUUAAUGCUGGUUGUAAGUCUAGGGUUGUGAUUCAAGCUGUUGUCUUGUGAUUCAAGUCAAUAGUAUUGGAACAGUACAAGAUUUUCCUGGGGAAGGGGAGCUUGGUCUACUAGGAACUAGCAAGUAGUGUGAUUUUACCUAUGUAUUGAGAAAUUGUUUAUUGUUUUGCUCUCGAAGAAUUAAAACGAAUCUCUCUACUUACUUCAUCAUCGUAGAGAUCAAUUCUUUUUAUAGGAGUUUGGUGUUAUUUGUUCUCUCUCUCUCUCUCCGCCCAUAGGAUAACAUCAUAAUGUUUAUCUUUUCAGACUCUGAAUUUGUGCUCAUGUAAAUGUGGUGUUGAAUGUUUGCUUGUAAUGGUCGAAUUGUGCUUUAGGCACUACUGUACGAGUAACGAUUAAGAGGAGUGGCUAGGUAAAGACUGUAGUUGCAGUUAAUUUGACUUCCAAACCAUUUCUACUACAAUGUUAAGUUUCAUAGUAGGUUAUGAUUUGGGUUCAGUUGAUAUAUGAUAAUAAUAGAACUGUUGUCAAAUGUAAAGUCAUUCUCUUUCUGAUUUUGUAGCUGUUGUCAAAUGUAAAGUCAUUCUCUUUCUGAUUUUGUAUUUACUCCUUUCCUGGCUGCUUUCCAUUUAGGUUUUUUCCUUUGAAACUCAGCUGCAUGUCUUCUUGUAGGAGAAAAAACACCAAACUUUUGUUCUGGCAACAUUUUAAUUACGUCAUACUGUAUUGCAUGUUUUCUGCUCCAUUUUAACUGUGUCAAUAUGCUGUUAAGUUGGCCAAACAGGGAACUUUUUAUGUUUGCUCUGUACUACUACGUCAAAGCUUGCCUGUAUUAGCUUUCACACUUUCAGUAUAGUUCUGAGCUGAUGUAGUUGCAUUGUUAUUGUUGAAGUUUUGAUUUUGAAAAAUUCAGAAUUUUGGGCUCAGAAGCCAUGCGAGGUUGGAGAUUAGAAAAGGGGCAUUGCUCGUCUUGCCCAAUGCGUUGAUGUUACUUGUUUUUAAUACUUAAGAGAAGCAAUUAUGUGCUUCUGAAGUCUCUUAUCAUACUUGAAUUUUAGUACUGGUUUUAAACUAUUAAUCUAGUGAUGCCAAACACUGUCCUUUUGUCCUUGAUGCUGAAGUGGUUUUAGUUUUACUUUGAUUUUGAUGAUUUCAUUUCUGAUGUUUAUAGGUGUUAGAGGUUAAUGUGUGUUGAGAUUGUUUUUCUGCUCUUUUAUUUUCUGUUUGUGGUUGAAACUUGAAACAUAGAAUCAGUUUCCAAAAAAUUGAAUUCAGUAUUUCAGGUUGGUACUGUAGUUCCUAUGAUUGGUGACAUAGUUGUAGCUCAACAGGUAGUUCAUAUUUUCCUAAUUUUAAAAGAACUUUUUAUUUUAAAGGUCCUUUUAGUGACAUUUUUGUUUUUUACUUUUAAGCUUUUCUUUAACGAGGUAGAGGGGGAGAGGUGGACGGUUCUUAGGAGAAAGGUGAGGGAAAAAGGAGAGAAAAAAUACUUCAAAAGUUCUAAAAAGUAAAAAAGCAAUUUAAAUGGCUUUUAGCCUGUUACUUUUAAUUCUCUCUACUUCUCCUGUCUUGUUCAUCUCUUUCAUCUCCUCCAUCACUUUAAUUUUCUAUAAAAGCUGUUAUCAGGGAUGCCUUCACUCCGCGUUUUUCUUUUGCUGGCAUUUAUGUAGUAGGCUUCAUCUAUUAAAGAGUUAUGAUUAAUCAAGGCAUGAGGCAUCAGUUUCAGUUAGGCGAAAUUAGGUUUUCAACGAAGAAAUAAAGCCUUACAAGUUCCUCGUCAUUACUUGCAUGUACUUUGCUUUUGAACUAUUCCAUCAUCAGUUCAACAAUUGAUUGAUGUGUAGAAUUUGGUCUUGGGUGUAUUGACUUGAGAUAGGUUGAAGAUGUAUUUAGUUGGUCCAUGCUUAGAGCUCUGAUUUGCUGGCUGAAAUGGUUUAACUUUUGGAAAUUUUCCUCUCUAUUUCACCGGUUGUACAGAAUCAUGUGUCUAUUAUGACGUGACACCUUAACGACCCUAAACUCGGACUAGAAAGAGUUCAAUCCCUCCCUCCUAUAUAUAAGUAUUAGCAAUUGUAUAGGUAUCUUUGGUUCCACCGCUUGUUUAAGUAAGGAGGCAGUGGGAUGAAGUGGUUGCUUGGCCGACAGAGCUUUCUGGGGUGGCCUAAAUAACUUUAUGAAAGCCUAUAUAUUAUGCAGAUAGCAUUGGCAAUGGAAUUAUUUAUAAACUAAUAACACUUUGAUUAUAUCUUAUAAACAUGAUAAGAUUCUCAGACACGAUAAUAGUGUACAUAUUUGUAUAUCUCCAGUUGGACAUGAUUAGGACGCUAGUGGAUUGAGAGAGAUUGACAUUGAUUUUUAGUGCAUGUAAAAGUAAUUGUGUAAAUAUCUGGGAUGUUUCUUCUUUUUUUUCUUUUUCUUUUUUUCUGUUUUCUUAUGGGCCCGUGAAGAAACAGCAUUGGAAUGAAAAUUCUGUGUCCAAAUUAGGAACGCGUGAGGGAUGAGACAUGGUUGCCCUUUGUCAUUUUCUACUGCUGAUUAGGACAAUCAGAAUGUGGAGGGAGCUAUUUGAUUGAUGAUUGAACAUAAGAAACUAAUCAAAUUAUCUGUUGUGAAGUUUAAUAAAAGAAGAGACACAAAUCUACAAGUCUCACGCAAUGAAAGCUAAAUCCAGAUUUAUUUUUGUAAGAAAACAAAGUCGUCCUACUAGCAAUUGACUGAUUUCACUUGACCAAAAGGUUGGGAUAGCAAUUUUUCCCGUCACACCCAAUCUCCACAUUGAUCUGUCCCGAAUGGGAUGGGGAUUGAGGCUUCUGCCCUUUCUCCAUCCCAUUCCGUUUUACAACUAUCAUGUUAAAGAAUGAUAAUUGUUUUGUUGACUCUUAAAUUUAAGCUUUUAUGAAUGGGAUGUGGAAUUCGAAUCUCAAUGAAGAAGACGAUAUCCAAUAGGGUUUGAGGCGGGAUUGUGGAUAUUUAACUUUUAUGGGGAUGGGGAUGAGUGUGAAAUAAUUGUUUCUUCGAGUAAAUUUUGUUAGGGGUAUAACUUACCACGAAGCUACAAACCCAACAUUAUUGCAUAUGUUUCUUCCUUUGCAGGCGAAAUAGUCCUCUGGGAGGGUGCAAAGGAUAGGAAGCUUCUCACUGGCCAUGUGACGGCAUGUGGAAAAUACGUAACAAAAGGCUUUACUUGGUGGCGUUUACACCUACGCCAUUAUUAUUAUUAGGCACCAUUUUAUAUUUAUAUUCAAAACUCAAAGCAGUGCAUGAACUGAUGCAAAAAAACAAAAACAAAAAAGAUUUAGGGGCUUUUAAGAUAUUUCCAUGUUGAGUCGGUUAGCUUGGCAAGUCAGUUUGAUCUUAAGGCUUUUCAUAAUUCAUUCAUAAUGUAGGAAAACACUUAAAAGGAAAGUGAUUGCUUGCAUAAUUACUUAUGAUAAUUUUGAUCUCCAUUUAAAGGAAAGUGCUUGGAUGAUCCCCUUUUUUUUUUCUUCUCAAAACUUGCUUUCAAAGUUCAUUUUCCAUCAUAUUUCAACUCCUUUUCUUCAAGAUACUUCUACCAUCAUACAUCAUAGAUGCAUCCAAAUGACUAUCUAGGGUUCAUUGGCUCAUCAUCACCCACUAUUAGUUUCACUUUUUUAUUAAUAGGGUGAUCAAUUACCCUUCAAACCAAUUCAAGACAGCUUAAUCAACCCAAUUAGAUAGUCAUCAUUUUGUGUCACCAAGAAUAUUAUCCCUUUCUUUCACCUCCAUGUCUUUUCUUCCCCAUUUUUCUUCUCAUUGUUUUUGGAACUCUCCCCUUCUUAGAAUGACCCACCAAUCAAAGGGUUUCUUUCUUCUCUCUCCCCCAAUGCUUUAUUCCACCAACUUUUUGUUUUUGUCUCUUUCAUUAACCCAUGGUUAACAGAAAGAAGCAUAGCCACAGAUUCUAGUCAGAUUUUAGCAGCAAAGCGCAUGAAGACAACAAACGAAUCCAUUGGGUGCAAGUUGCAUAGAACAAUUUUGGCUUUGGGCAUUCAUAUUAACCACAAAGGUUAGGUUAAAAGUUAAUUGUGAUUUACUUAACAGAGAUUUAAACAGGAAAUUGGGAUUUGGUGGUUUCAAAGAAGAUCUUGUAGGGACAUUUGUAAUUCCCAAAGUAGGGAUAAAGAAUCAGCAUGGAUGUCAGUGCAAGUGCAGAAGAGAAUACCUUUGUGUGUGUAGAAUCUAGUAGGCAUUGGCCACAAACCACCCCACCCUUCUUUAUGGACAUUUGGGGAUAUCCUUGGCUUCUUUUUGCGGCUUCCAUGUUUUGUAAAAGUGCUUUUACCCAAGGCAUUUUCUUCUUGUUUUUAUGAGAAAAUUGAGAGAAUCAGCAGCAAAGAAUUUGGUAAAGGGCCCUCUGCAUUCUCUGGAAACUGCACUAAGUGUACUUGGUUUCUUUGGCCACAGUACAUAAGAGAUGCAACAAGAGGAAAAGAAAACAAUCAAAUAAGUUCUACAGCACCAAGUACCAAAUAAUUGAACUCCAACAUGUCUAUGAGUAAGGCUCCAAUGAUUCAAAUUUUGGGUUUGGUCGUACCCAAAUAGUAAUAUUCUAAAGGAAAAUGCAACUAAGAUCAAAUAUUUCGAGCCGCUUCCGUGAAAAAUUCAAACUUUCUUUUUUAAUACUUCAAUCACAUAAAAAUAUAAACUUUGAGAUUCAAUAGCUAAAUACAUGGCAAUUGAAUCAUGAGCCGAGAUCAUAAAGAGCAUACAAGUAUACAAAGUGGAUGUCAUUGUAGGUGUCAAAUGAGUGAAGAAGAAGAAAAGAGUCAUGUGCUUUUAGGUGUGCCAACUAAUAUUAUCUUUCCAUGGUUUGAUCUCAAGUCUCAUAUCUGGAUGUGGUUUUCUUCUCUUUGGAUUUAUAUAUGACAAUAUAUAUAUAUAUAUAUAUUUAUAUUUAUAUAUAUUUUAAAAAAACAUUUAAAACACCCAAAUUUAUACACCAGUCAUAUUUUAUACUGUAUUUCUUUUUUCUAAUAUUAUAACACUUAAAGAAAACCCAAGUAAAUGACAAAUAGUGUAUCAUAUCCACCCACCAUCUAAUAAUGCUAAAUUAGUAGAAAGUUAAGUCUUUUUUUAGCAGUGUUUCUUUCAUUUGAUCCAAGACUUUUCUACAAGAGGCCUAUGUCAGAAUUAGUUAUUUGAUUUCAUAAGACUCUGCCAGAAUUUGACUCAGCAACAACCAAUUUCUAACCAUGUGUCUUCAAGCCAAGAAAUAAGACAAAGUAGGCCCUUCUGAAGAUUUCAACUUUUGUGAAUUGCUUAACUUUGAGCAAAUUGAUGGUGCAUAGAAGAAAUUUGAUUCCCUAUAUUUUUUUCUUCUCACUUGCUAAUAUCCAGUCAUUCGGUUGCAAACGACAAUGACUUUCAUUAAAUGAAAAUUGUUUCAUAGGAAAACAUCCAAAUGGUUAAGAACUUAAAGAAAGUUGAUGUUUGAAGUAUAUUUUAGAGAGGGGAUAAGGAGAACAACACUUUCAGAAACAAUGAAGGAAGAGAAAAUUUUAUAUAUUGAUUAAGAUUAUCGACCUGAUAACGAGAGAUUCACCUUAAUCAGCGACUCAUUGUCCGUACACAUAUCAAUAAUUUUCAUGUAACGUAAUCUUGUUCGGCAAGCUUCUAUCACCAUUUGAGAGAGAGAGAGAGAAAAAAAAUUGUAUAAAAUUAAGAGGUAGAUAAAAAUUGGUCAUAGGUUUGGUCAUUGGUGGUUGAGGAGACUUUUAGAGCUCGAUGUCGAUACUAAAUGUGUGAAAAAACACAUCAUGGUCUUGUAGUUCAUAUUCACACUUGCCAACCGACAUAAUCAAUUUCUAGUUUCUACCAUCAAUAAUGUAUUGGAGUGUAGUUUGGUUUGGUGCUUUUAACUAAAAUUAGUACAUGUAUUGAAAUUAUUGCUCUCUUUUUUUGUUGCCCACGUACCCUUUUACCAUCUGCUGGGAAAGUGCAGUGCAGCUAACCCUACUUUUCCUUGAUUAAAAAAUUAUUUUUAUAAAAUAAAUAAAUAAAUAAAAAAACCGUUCUCAAUGUUGUUUUCUAAGUAACAUUUUAGGAUUUUUAAAAAGCAAAACAAAAUAAUUAAAGAAACAAAACUGAUGAAAGAAAGGCUAACAAUUUUCUUUCUGGGAAAGCAAUGGGUUCUUUAUGAAAAAGGGUUUAAGCUUUUAAUCCACCCAAACAAAGUCUUUGUUUCUAAUUCAUCAGAGGUUAUGAAAUUUUCAAUACAUCCACAUCCAAAUCAUGUUUUUUUUUUUCCUUUUUUUUUUCUUUUUUUUUUUCCUUCUAUGUUGCAUCAUUGUUAGGCUUUAGGCUUUAGGCUUUAGCUGGUGGGAGAAGUAAUAUUUUGGAACCCAGAGGUUUCCUCUGUCAUGAUAAGUGGGGCCAAGUGGGUGCAAGAGACGUGUCAAUUAGACUUUUCCCAUGUAUCCAUAUUCAAUCGGACGGUGGUGAAGAGUCUUGCUUUUCCAAACACUUUAUUGAAGUCACAAUCGGCCCAUUCACAUUCUAAAUUCUAGUAUAGAAAGAAAUUUUAAAAAAUAUGUUAUUUUCUUUAGGCUUUUUGUCUUUCUGAGUUGAUUAAGAAAAAGCAGUGAGCUUCACUUUUUGACUAAGCGAGCACAACACAACUGAGGGUCAUGGAUUAAUACAAUCGUACUCAUUAAAACUCAUUUAUAUUGUUUUUUUAUAUAAAUGAUAUUCUAUUUUAAUUUAUUUUAAACUACAUAGAGGGGUAUUCAAACUCGGAUGUAAACACUGAAAUUCACUUACAUUAACAAUGAAGAUCGAUGGCAGACAAUAUUAAUGAUAUUUUAUUACAUAUAUAACUAUAUAUCUUGAAGCUAAUGCCAAUAGCGUAUUACUUGGAUCUGGUUUUGAAAAGAAUUAGGGUUUGAGCAACAAGAUCUUUCUUAGUGACUUGAGCCUCUAUAGUUUAUUGAAUGGACUUUAAUUUUGAUUAGUUGUAAAAUAAAGAAGAUUAAUAACUUGUUUUGAAACACUGAAACACAUGAGGUUUUUGAGGAGAAUUAUGAAGAAAAGAUAUGAACCAACCAUUGAGAUAACAUGUGGGUGAGCUCGACAAACAAUUUGAAAUCCUGUUUGUUGAAUAAAGCCAAGCAUAGAAAACGAUUGGUCUUAACCCAUCACACCAUAUGGGCAUCUUAACUAGGACACAUCAUGCAGUGAACAAAAACCCAACAAAUUUCAUCUAAGUUAUUUAGAUCAAAUCAUAUAAAUAAUAAACCCAAUUAGUAGCUAUAAUUGAUGAGCCUUGUCAAGUGACACAUGAUGACAUAAGGUAUUUGUGUAAUUUAAUUGGUUAAUGCCCAUGGUUAUGAUUGAGUAAUAAGAAAAACCAAACAAUGCCUUGGUACUGAAAAUUGAUGGGUCACCAAUUUCCACUACCUUGCUACACUACCACCAAACAACUCAAAAGCAACCAAAAAGUUCUUUAAAAAAUAAAAGUUAUUGGUUAGUGCUGGUUAACGAUUUAUAAUAUUUGGUUCAUUGUCGAUUAUUUGAUUGUUAUUAUAAAUAUUAACUUUAAUAGACAGUUACUCAUAUAAAAAAUAGAAAUUCAGAGUAAUUUUGGAAUGAGACCGUAAUCUAAUAUUAAACAUUUUUUUUACGCGAAUAAAAAACUAAUUUUCCUCAUAAUUAGUGAAAGUACUUUGAAAUGUCCCUAAACACAUUACACCUACUUUAGCAUACUUGCUUUUCCACCAUACAUACAUGAUCACAUAGAUCAUCAUCAUCUUCAUUAAAAACCAUGUAAUAUAUAUACCCCCACACACAUCCCCAACCAAAGCUCAUUUACUAAAGGGUCAACUCUCAAACCCAACUCUAACUCAACUCCAACCGUCCUUCCUCUCUCUCUCUCAGUCUCCCUCUCCACCUCCACCGCAAACUACCGCGGCCGCCGCCAUGUCGUACAAGGACUGCGGCCAACACGGAUACAACAAGCGGCGAAGGAGGUUUAAACGCUGCUGCGCCGGGCUCCUAAUCUUCAACUUCAUCCUGCUCGUCACCAUCCUCAUCGUGUGGGCCAUCCUCCAGCCCUCCAAACCCCGCUUCAUCCUCCAAGACGUCACCGUCUUCAACUUCAACAACUCCGUACCCAACGUCUUCUCCUCCAGCUUCCAGGUCACCGUCUCCUCCCGCAACCCCAACGACAAGAUCGGCAUCUACUACGACAGGCUCAACAUCUACGCGACAUACCGUAAUCAGCAGAUCACCUUCUCCACGCUCAUCCCGCCGGUGUACCAGGGUCACAAGGACGUCAACGUCUGGUCGCCGUUCAUCUACGGCACCGAAGUCCCCAUCGCGCCGUACAAUUCCCUGGCGCUGGACCAGGACA
rnacentral:lncRNA from 1 species